UACGGGAGGCAGCAGUGGGGAAUAUUGCACAAUGGGGGAAACCCUGAUGCAGCAAUGCCGCGUGAGGGAAGACGGUCUUCGGAUUGUAAACCUAAGUAGUCAGGGACGAAGAAAGUGACGUUACCUGAAGAGUAAGCUCCGGCUAACUACGUGCCAGCAGCCGCGGUAAU
rnacentral:rRNA from 1 species